GACGAACGCUGGCGGCGUGCCUAACACAUGCAAGUCGAACGAGAGCGUCCGGUGCUUUCACUGGUCAAUCUAGUGGCGGACGGGUGAGUAACACGUGGGUAACCUGCCCAUCGGAGGGGUAUACCAUCCGGAAACGGGUGCUAAGACCGCAUAGGUCUUCGAGCCGAAUGGCUUGAAGGUGUAAAUAGGCACAUGCUUCUGCUAAUGGCUGGACACGCGGUUCAUUAGCUAGUUGGUGAGGUAACGGCUCACCCAGGUCGUGAUGCUUAGCCGACCUGAGAGGGUGAUCGGCCACAUUGGCACUGAGAAAGGGCCCAAACUCCUGCGGGAGGCAGCAGUAGGGAAUCUUACGCGAUGGACGCAAGUCUGACGGAGCAACGCCGCGUGAGUGAAGAAGGUGUUCGGAUCGUAAAACUCUGUUGGUAGAGAAGAACUAAUGUUCUAGUAACUGUUAGCGCAUUGACGGUACCUAGCCAGAAAGCCACGGCUAACUACGUG
rnacentral:rRNA from 1 species